rnacentral:rRNA from 1 species
AGCUAAUACCGGAUAAUAUUUCGAACCGCAUGGUUCGAUAGUGAAAGAUGGUUUUGCUAUCACUUAUAGAUGGACCCGCGCCGUAUUAGCUAGUUGGUAAGGCAACGGCUUACCAAGGCGACGAUACGUAGCCGACCUGAGAGGGUGAUCGGCCACACUGGAACUGAGACACGGUCCAGACUCCUACGGGAGGGCAGCAGAC